GUUGUUGAAUUCCCCGCCACGCUGAAGCCGGGCUUUGUUGGUAAACUGGACUACUACGGACUGGGCGACUAGUGAGGUUGGGAGGUGAGGAGCCUGAUAAAGGCAACAUUGCUUUAUACUCCUGAUAAAAUGCGACAUUGACGGCAACAACAACACGGUUAGUUAAAAUAGAAAGCAUUUUACCCGCAGUGUACUUCAAAAAGGAAAGUUCAUAAUGUAUCAUUUCCUUCGGGACUGCUUUCAAGGUGAUGGAUUCUAGCAAUCUGAGGUAAAGGAAUGGAUGUCCAACUUCAGUUUUUGGAGACCGAAGUGAAAAUAACGUUAUCCUCUUGACUACUGGACAGCACUACAUGGGUCACUCCUGAGGAAUGUCUACCCUUGGACUAGUGAAAACAGCUAAUGUAAGACAGAUAUUAAUAGGAAAAACCGUAAUGAAAUAUACUAUCGUAUGUUGGAAUGCUGAACUUGAUGCCAGACGACAUGGAUGAGGCCACGUUCUACUAUUCACCAGUGACCUGUGUCAACGUGAGCAAAAUGCAUAACUUCUCUGGUCCUUUAUUGAUAAAUGAUAGCUAAUUCAGAAGGCUGUCGUGAGGAUUAAGUUCAACAAGAAAUUAACU